AGUACGGGAGGGACAGAGAAUAGCCCAGCACCGAAGCCCAUCCGCGCAUGUGGACAGGGCAAUGUGGUGUUAAGUUAUUGACCUGGGAGACAGCUGUCUGCUCGAAGUCCACUCCGAUUUUGGCUUGGAUUUGUUCCAUAGAGGGUGAAAGGCCCGUACGAGUAGACCUUACGGUAUCAAGCUGUUCCUUAGACAUCGAUAACUUGGAGUCGGAUUGCUUGAGAAUGCAGUCCAAAGUGGGUGGUAAACUCCAUCCAAGGCUAAAUACUGGCACGAGUCCGAUAGUAGACAAGUACCGCGAGGGAAAGUUGAAAAGUACUCUGAAGAGAGAGUAAAUAGUACGUGAAACCGUUUGUAAAGAAGCCGGUGGAGUCAAGCUUCUUGUUGUGGUGAUUGACUGGGAGAAUAUUUGUUUACGGGUAAUGGGCUUUUUGGCUUGGAAAUAGUCUAGUGGUUCGCCGCUACGAUUAGUCCGGGCAGAUUAAUUGUUUUGGCUCUUAUUCCCCUCUUCUCUUCAGUUAUUUAUCACAGCUGAAAUCACAGUCAAUUUGCAUAGUGAUGCGUGAUAGUCUAACUGUGUUUUAGUGGGCCUUGCGUCUACUAAUCAUGGGACGGCAGGUUGAUAUACGGUGGGUUUACCAUCAUGUGUUAUAUAAAAGCUUCGGUUUGCUGACUAUCAUGUUUCAAUGAUCAUCUUGCGGAUUGUUCUUAUUGCAGUAGUGUCCAUCCGGUAACUGCUGUUAGAACUGUGGUUUUGAGGUAGACCUUCCACCCGACCCGUCUUGAAACACGGACCAAGGAGUUUAACAUCUACGCGAGUCAAUGGGAUUAUCACGAAACCCAACGGCGUAAUGAAAGUAAAAGACUGCAUCUCGUGGUCUGAGGUGUGAUACUUGCGUGUCCUAAACCGGGCUGUAAGUCGCAACACCGGCCCGUCUCGUAAUGUAGUCAUUAUGGCCACGGUCAUUUUGCGUCAUUGAGGCGGAGCAAGAGCGUAGAUGUUGAGACCCGAAAGAUGGUGAACUAUGCCUGCGUAAGUCGAAGCCAGAGGAAACUCUGGUGGAGGACUGUAGCGGUUUUGACGUGCAAAUCGAUCGUCAAACGUGGGUAUAGGGGCGAAAGACUAAUCGAACCAUCUAGUAGCUGGUUCCCUCCGAAGUUUCCCUCAGGAUAGCUGGCGCUCGCUUAAUACAGUUUUAUCCGAUAAAGCGAAUGAUUAGAGGUAUUGGGGGCUAAUUGUCCUCAACCUAUUCUCAAACUAUAAAUGGGUACGAUGCAUGGCUCGCUCAAUUGGAGUUGUGCAUCGAAUGUGAGUGCCAAGUGGGCCAUUUUUGGUAAGCAGAACUGGCGCUGUGGGAUGCUCCGAACGUGCAGAUAAGGUGCCAAAUGCAGACGCUCAUGAGACACCACAAAAGGUGUUAAUGCAUAUAGACAGCAGGACGGUGGCCAUGAAGGUCGGAAGCCGCUAAGGAGU
rnacentral:rRNA from 1 species